GCCGACCUAGCUCAGUGGUAGAGCAGCGGUUUCGUAAACCGCAGGUCGUGGGUUCAAAUCCCAUGGUCGGCU
rnacentral:tRNA from 1 species